rnacentral:rRNA from 1 species
AACGUAGGACGCAAGCGUUGUCCGGAGUUACUGGGCGUAAAGCGCGGGCAGGCGGUCUUGCCAGUCUGAUGUGAAAUCUCCUCGCUCAACGGGGAGCAGCCAUUGGAAACUACAAGACUGGAGUCUGGCAGAGGUAGGCGGAAUUCCGGGUGGAGUGGUGAAAUGCGUAGAGAUCCGGAGGAACACCAGAGGCGAAGGCGGCCUACUGGGCCAGUACUGACGCUGAGCCGCGAAAGCCAGGGGAGCGAACGGG